rnacentral:rRNA from 1 species
GAGUUUGAUCAUGGCUCAGGAUGAACGCUGGCGGCGUGCUUAACACAUGCAAGUCGAACGAACCUUCGGGUUAGUGGCGGACGGGUGAGUAACGCGUGAGAAUCUGCCCUCAGGAGGGGGAUAACGGUUGGAAACGACCGCUAAUACCCCAUAUGCCUACUGGUGAAACGAAUUUCGCCUGAGGAUGAGCUCGCGUCUGAUUAGCUAGUUGGUGAGGUAAUGGCUCACCAAGGCUUCGAUCAGUAGCUGGUCUGAGAGGAUGAUCAGCCACACUGGGACUGAGACACGGCCCAGACUCCUACGGGAGGCAGCAGUGGGGAAUUUUCCGCAAUGGGCGAAAGCCUGACGGAGCAACGCCGCGUGAGGGACGAAGGCCUCUGGGCUGUAAACCUCUUUUCUCAAGGAAGAAGAUAUGACGGUACUUGAGGAAUAAGCCACGGCUAAUUCCGUGCCAGCAGCCGCGGUAAUACGGGAGUGGCAAGCGUUAUCCGGAAUUAUUGGGCGUAAAGCGUCCGCAGGCGGCUUUUCAAGUCUGCUGUUAAAACGUGGAGCUUAACUCCAUCAUGGCAGUGGAAACUGAAAGGCUUGAGUAUGGUAGGGGCAGAGGGAAUUCCCGGUGUAGCGGUGAAAUGCGUAGAUAUCGGGAAGAACACCAGUGGCGAAGGCGCUCUGCUGGGCCAUUACUGACGCUCAUGGACGAAAGCCAGGGGAGCGAAAGGGAUUAGAUACCCCUGUAGUCCUGGCCGUAAACGAUGAACACUAGGUGUCGGGGGAAUCGACCCCUUCGGUGUCGUAGCUAACGCGUUAAGUGUUCCGCCUGGGGAGUACGCACGCAAGUGUGAAACUCAAAGGAAUUGACGGGGGCCCGCACAAGCGGUGGAGUAUGUGGUUUAAUUCGAUGCAACGCGAAGAACCUUACCAGGGUUUGACAUCCUGCGAACCUCUUAGAAAUUUGAGGGUGCCUUCGGGAAUGCAGUGACAGGUGGUGCAUGGCUGUCGUCAGCUCGUGUCGUGAGAUGUUGGGUUAAGUCCCGCAACGAGCGCAACCCACGUUUUUAGUUGCCAGCAUUUAGUUGGGCACUCUAGAAAGACCGCCGGUGAUAAACCGGAGGAAGGUGUGGAUGACGUCAAGUCAUCAUGCCCCUUACACCCUGGGCUACACACGUACUACAAUGCUACGGACAAAGGGCAGCAAACUCGCGAGAGCUAGCAAAUCCCAUAAACCGUGGCUCAGUUCAGAUCGUAGGCUGCAACUCGCCUACGUGAAGUAGGAAUCGCUAGUAAUCGCAGGUCAGCAUACUGCGGUGAAUACGU